CUGACACGGUUCAUAUAAAGUCACAGCACAGACAUAACCUGGUUGCUGCUACUAGUCAGGCUCAUCAAAUGCAAACAUGGCUCUUGUUGGCCUUGGCCCGGCCGUCAACUGCUUCAACUGCAGAUGCGGCUGACCUAGAUGUCCCAUCAAUAGCGAAGGAAGUGGCUGAACUCGUUCUUUGGGACUUGGACUCUGACUUUCCGUACUAGUCCAAUAACCCAAUGGGGAAUCCGUCCCUUUCAGCCCCUGAACCUAAUGAAUCUGUUUGGUACGCUGAGGCUUCUCCUUCCCCUGAAAUCGGCCGUAAACAGACACUGCUUGAAGACAAGAAAGGUUGGGACAAAGACCUCUUCUCUUUCAAAUCUCGUAGGAAGUGGAAAGGAAGUAGCUUGUGCUUGGCGUGCUCUAAGCUCCGAAGCUGAUGUUCGAUUGAAUUAACCUCAACAACUCGUGAAAUUUAACUAAUGGCCGAAGUCCUUCUUCGCGCACAGCCAGACCUUCUGCUCGAUUGUUUGUUGCCUCAGUUGGGAAGAAGGCUGGAAUCUUUCUCUCCCUAGCCCUAGGAUAGAAUGUGAUCUCUUUCUCUAAAGGUUUUGAAAAUGCAAUCCUACAAGUACAGUUUCAGCAAGUAAGAUUUGAAUCCCCAACGACAAGCGAACGGGCAUUUUCGGGGACUAGCCAUUACUCAAGCAAGAGGGAAAUUCCUAGCACAUAAUUAAGGGAGCCAUGGAAAGGUGACUGAAACACCAGAAACGGCGACUACCCGAGCUAAUGAUAGAGGCAAGAACACUUUCCGGCCAAGUCCCAUUAAUUGAUCAUAACGAUAUCGUGGAAAUGCUGCGCGGACCCAUAUAUAUAGAAAGAGAAAAAGAAUCACCUUGAUACUAAACCAGAUCGAGCCCGGGAUCCUCUUUAAAAUGGGAAGAUCUAGGAUAGGCGGCCAACCUCCUGGAGAGAGCGAUGUGCAUGGACCAGGUGAGUAGGGAUGCAGCUCCGUGGACCGCUCGUCGGGCCUGAUAGGUGGUGGUAUCACACCCUUCUCAAAGGAACCGUACGUGAGACUCUCGCGUCAUACGGCUCCGUCCCGGAACCGGAAGAAGGACCUCCCCUUUCCUUUGACCAACGGGCCCUCGAACCAACCCG